UACGUAGGCAGCGAGCGUUGUUCGGAGUUACUGGGCGUAAAGAGUGCGUAGGCGGUUUUCUAAGUUUGGUGUGAAAUCUCCCGGCUUAACUGGGAGGGUGCGCCGAAGACUGGAAGGCUUGAGUAUGGGAGAGGUAAGCGGAAUUCCUGGUGUAGCGGUGAAAUGCGUAGAUAUCAGGAGGAACACCUGCGGUGUAGACGGCUUACUGGACCAUAACUGACGCUGAGGCGCGAAAGCUAGGGGAGCAAACGGG
rnacentral:rRNA from 1 species